CCUACGGGUGGCAGCAGUGGGGAAUAUUGCACAAUGGGGGAAACCCUGAUGCAGCGACGCCGCGUGAGUGAUGAAGUAUUUCGGUACGUAAAGCUCUAUCAGCAGGGAAGAACAUGACGGUUCCUGACUAAGAAGCCCCGGCCAACUACGUGCCAGCAGCCGCGGUAAUACGGAGGGGGCACGCGUUAUCCGGAUUUACUGGGGGUAAAGGUAGCGUAGACGGCAGCGCAAGUCUAGAGUGAAAUCCCAUGGCUUAACGAUGGAACUGCUUUGGAAACUGUGCAGCUAGAGUGCAGGAGAGGUAAGCGGAAUUCCUGGUGUAGGAGUGAAAUGCGUAGAUAUUAGGAGGAACACCAGUGGCGAAGGCGGCUUACUGGACUGUAACUGACGUUGAGGCGCGAAAGCGUGGGGAGCAUACAGGAUUAGAUACCCGAGUAGUC
rnacentral:rRNA from 1 species